rnacentral:rRNA from 1 species
GACGAACGCUGGCGGCGUGCCUAAUACAUGCAAGUCGAGCGGACAGAAGGGAGCUUGCUCCCGGAAGUCAGCGGCGGACGGGUGAGUAACACGUGGGCAACCUGCCCUGCAGAUUGGGAUAACUCCGGGAAACCGGGGCUAAUACCGAAUAACAUUGGAAACCUCAUGGUUUCCUUUUAAAAGGCGGCUUCGGCUGUCACUGCAGGAUGGGCCCGCGGCGCAUUAGCUAGUUGGGGAGGUAACGGCUCACCAAGGCGACGAUGCGUAGCCUGCGUGAGAGGGUGAGCGGCCACACUGGGCAUGAGACACGGCCCAGACUACUACGGGAGGAAGCAGUAGGGAAUCUUCCGCAAUGGACGAAAGUCUGACGGAGCAACGCCGCGUGAGUGAAGAAGGUUUUCGGAUCGUAAAACUCUGUUGUCAGGGAAGAACAAGUACGGGAGUAACUGCCCGUACCUUGACGGUACCUGGCCAGAAAGCCACGGCUAACUACGUGCCAGCCGCCGCAGUAAUAC